rnacentral:siRNA from 1 species
GCACGUCGCGUGGUGUCC